GCCCGGAUUUUGUAUCUAAUUAAACCAUUUAAUUACAAUUGAACACAAUAUUUAAGUUUUACUGCAUUGCUUAUAAAAUAUAAGUAGAUUCUACUAAUUUGUAGACAUAUUUGAACCUGUGAAUAAACUUAAGUUAAAUUAACUCGUAUUAUGAAAUUUAUCUCCUGACCACGCCUCCUCCACCGGUGCUGCGAGUAACAGCGCCAUUUUGUCACUGUGAUUGUGUAUGAAUUUAAGCUGUGGAUGAAUGUGGAAAUUUAGAUUUAGAUAGUUCUGUUGGCAUUGUUUUCCGCCAUUUAUCUUUUAUCACGUCCUCGAGAAACUCUUUGUGAUCGGCAAAAGUUGUUGUUCGUCUAAACGACGGGACAUUUCUCAUCCGUUGAUAGCUAGUGUUCUCACUCGCCUGCGCUUGAACCCCUGACUGGCGAGUUCGACUAACAUUUUUUGCCUUUUUCUUUCAAUGAUUUCUUUUUCACUCGAGGAGCUGUUGUUUGUGAGGAGUGUAAAUUUAGUUUUACUCAUACAGUAGCCGCGAUUCCAGCCGAGGAGCGACAAAGGUGGAGCUAAUAUGGUUCAGAGUCCUCUUAACGACUAUCUUGUUUUGGAAGAAAGAAGAAAUGGAAGAGAUGCUUUGAAAGUGAGGCAGCUGACAAGACAGACUUCAGUAAGAAUCCUCAGCUUUGAUCAAGAAAGUUCACAGCUCACCUCAUCUAGAGUGGGAAUCAUCUUGGAAGAAAGCUUGGUAAUGGAUGAACUGACCAAUCUCAGGCCUUCUAUGUCCAUUGUUUUCAGACUGAUUUCCCUGCCUACACCUGGACUAUCCUAAGUGUAUGAAAAGUAUUUUAUAUUUUUUGUCGGGAAAAGGUGAGCUGACACCUAAAAUUCAGUAUUGCCAAUAGUGUGAACUCAGAGUGUGGAAAAAACAUAUUGUUUUGAUGCUGUUUGUUGCGAUUCUGAGGAAAACUUGUUUGUGUGCUUAACGAUAAUUUAAUUUGUUGAACUAGUAUCUUUUUGAACUUUUUUUUUUUCUCCCAUGUUUUAUGGGGAAAUGUUUUCAGGAUAUGAAAAAAUGGUUUUGUUGUGUUUUCAAUUGAAUAUUUGUAAUUGAAUUGAUUUAAAAUAAAAGGGAAAAUUGCAUUAAUGUUCCUUUAUUUGUUUGCUUUUUUCUUAAUUUUCUAGGUUAACAAAUUG